GCUAAUUUUGUUAAAAAUGUGAAAAACUUUAACUAAGGUUAGAGUUAUAAAUAUAGGGCUGAAUAGGUUAGUUCACGGAGAUACCCAAAGUUAUUCUCACUUCUCUCAUUCAUCUGUCGAUUUAGUGGAGCUCUGAGCUCCUUUUUCUCCUCCAUCUUUCUGUCUCUGAGUACCUUCUCCACGCACAAAGCUCCAUUGUUCUCCUCUGUACUACAGACUAGAGCAGAUUCUCUCAACAGUUUCUAGGUUGACAUGCUAGAUUGCUCUACUAUAUGGCAUUAGGCAUUGGGUAAUGUGCAAUGGCCAAUGAGUCUGGUUUCUUUUCAGUUUACCUACAAUGAAUUUGAUCUGUUGAAUUCUUGAACAUGUUGUGUUGUAAAGUUGAAUUUUUUUGUUUCUAAUUUUCAUGCUAUUAAUAAGAUUUUUACAUUAUUGCCCCAUUAGAGACCUUUCCCCUUAUCAUGGAUGUGUCCCAAUCAGCUUCAUUUCCAUAUCAUUUCAAAAUCCAUCACAAGCCCAGAUGAGGGCUCUUAUUUUAGUGUCCAAACUACUUUUAAGAAAGAAAAAAAAUGACAUUCUCUUUUAUGCAGGAGUUUCUUUUCUUCCAUAAAAACAAUUUAUAAAUCAUAAAGUAAGCAAUACUUUAUAUGGGUAUCUUAGGGACCAACCAAGCACAUCCAAAAAAGUGUAGCAAAGUAGAAAUAAAACUACGUAUUUGCUAUUUUAUUAGGAUCUCAGUUUUAGUUUUUCAUAGAUCCUUAGAACCAUUCUUCUAUUUUUUGAACUUUUCCUUAAGGCAGAUACUAUGAUAUACAUCUUUUGAGUAUAAGCAUUUGAGUAACAAAAAAACACAAUAUUUUAUUAACUUUUUUCUUCCUAAUUUAGUCCUUAGCCGAGUAGUUUAAAGUUGGGAUUAUGUGGAUUCUUAACAAAUGUUUUAGAUAUAUAUGCUGGGUGUUUUAGAGCAUAUAUAUAGAAAGAGCCCAUAAUUCUUCAAUGUUGAGUAUACAACUGAAGCGGAUCAUGACAACUAUGAUUAGUUAUUAAGCUAUUAUCGUUAUUUCUGAACUCUAUAAAUAACUAAUACUUAAGCAAGCCCAUUCAUUAAGUGAUCUCUUUUCUCUUACCAAUCCAUUCGUCAUUUCAGAGAAAAAAUGUUUCUUAGUCCUUAUAGCUUCAUUUAUUUUCUUCUUUUUAUUCUUAUUCUCACUUCACUAGAAAACUUCACUCUUAGACUGAACUCAUUUAAUAUAUAUUCCUUUAUAUUUUGCAUGUUGUAGACACUAUGACAUUACCGUAUAUUUUCUAUAUUAGGUUUCAUUAAUCGAUAUAUGCUUUUCCAAGAGGAGUUCUCUUGUGGCUAUUUUGGCUUAAAAUCUAUUUUCUAAAAGUUGUUUGUUUUUUAUCAUCCAAACAUGUUUAUGUUUAUGUUUUUGGUUUUUUGUUUUUUUGGAUAUUGUUUUUAGAAAACAAUAACCAAACACUGUUACAUUUUGAAAGUUACAAAAAGUGUUUUCUAUUCUCAAUUUUGAAAACACAAUUUUGAAAACUGAAAACAAUGUCAUACACCUUAUAAAAUUUCCCUUUAAUGAAUAUUUUACAUGGCCAAAUUACUCCCACUAAAAUUAUACAAUUCCAAUUUAACCAGCCUUAUAUUCAAAUAUCAUUUUCUUGGCACCCAUUGCCCUCGUUCCCCAGCAGCCAUGAAACCUCCUUCACUAUAGCUACCGCACUUCUCGGACCAGGCCCUCUCCAGUCCGACAAGUGCGAUGGCUAGUGAAAUAGGUUUCAUGGCUGCUGGGGAACGAGGGCAAUGGUUGUCGGUCCUCUCCAGUCCAGGCCCUCUAAGGCUUUGGUGCUAAUUUAUUUUAGGUAAUGAUUUGUAUUUUGAUUUGAAUGUGCUCUUAGAUUUGAAAUGUUGGUAUAACUUUCUAUAUGAAAUAUAUUAGCUAGCCAUGCCUCAGAUAUAUAUAUUUAUUUACAUACGUUCCUUUCUUGUUUCUACUCGAUUUUUGGUUUCCAAUUUCUGUUUGUAUUCUUUUAUAGUUUUGGUGUUCAUAUAAUAUAUUGGAUUUUUAGUUCAAAUUAUAUUUCUGCAGUUGGAAGUUCUUUAACUACUUUUGGAUGUUUGACAUCGAAAAUUUGAAGAGUCUAAGGCAUUGAAAUAAUUAAUAUUUGAUGGCAGAUUAUUUUCUUUUUGGGUGGUUAUGAAUCUUAGUCUUGAGAGCUAAUAUUAUAGUCCUUGGCAGUUGGCACACCAUCUGUUUGAUAGAAGUUCUGAGUUAAAGUCAUUUUUCCUUUGUCUUGUCACUCUUCAUUGGUGUUGUUGCAUAUUUUGGCAAAAGAAUUUAACUAAUUUUUAUGUUAUUAUUGUGGUCACUUACCAAGUUAGGAUUCUACUUAGCAUAUAAGAAUGCUUCAUAUUUUUGCCGACUUACCAAGUGACGGAAUUUACUAAGUUAAAGCUUUGUCAGGAAGUUGACGAGUCAACUUCAUUUGAGAAAUUGUUUUCCAAGUCGGCAUGCACAAUGAAUGAAGAAGUAGAAGAAGAAUAAAAACCAGCGGAUGUUUUAGGAUUUGGAUGACCUCUCAUACUAACAGGAUGUGAAACAGAAAUGGGAAGAAGCUCGAUUCAGAGUUGAUUUUCGUGAAAAUCUUAAGGUUGGGUAUCGUAAAUUCAUGUACACCAACUUUUUGUGAUUAAGAUGAAUUUUUAUUCCCCCCUUCUCUAAUAACAUGGAAUAAUUGAAGCACCUUUGAAUUAAAUACAAGGUAGCAAGUGUUUGAUUCAUAGGUUUUUCUUGUAUUUAUAAUUUUUCUCAUCUUACUUCUUAUACAUCUUGUUAUAUAAACUUGAUUGAUAUAUUGAUUCUAUUUGUGCUUACUAUAUGUUGUGUUGUUAUGAUCGAGUUCAUUCUUUGGGCAAUGUUUCUUCCUAAUCCAGACCUGACUGAAUUGAUUCAACUAUUGUGUAUACAAUGCAAUUGGUAUUUGGGCCUCACCUUAUCAUAUGUGUGUGUGUGUGUUUACAAGAAACCCAAUUUGAUUUCUGAACACAAAAAGAAACUUUAUUGCUUUGAAAGAAUAAAAUUGGCUUCACCAUGAUAAUACUUAGGAAAAUGUGAUAGUAUUUACUUUCCAUUUUAUAGAUUGUGUUUAAAUGGUUGAAGGAAGUAUUUUAUACAUCAGAUAUGAGUUAAAUGUAGACAAUAGCGCAGGUUGAUAUUUACCUUCCAACCUGCGCUAGUAUUUUAUACUUAGGAAAAUGGGAUAGUAUUUACUUUCCAUUUUAUAGAUUGUGUUUAAAUGGUUGAAGGAAGUAUUUUAUACAUCAGAUAUGAGUUAAAUGUAGACAAUAGCGCAGGUUGAUAUUUACCUUCCAAUUUUUAUUUUUCUUCCUUUCCAUUUAAUUUUAUGUAUAGAUUAUCUUUUGGGCAUAUUCUUAUUUUGUUCUUCGUAAGGAAUUUAUGGAUGAUGAUACAAAGGUUUCAAAUUCUGUUUCUACUGCCUUAUUUUUGCAUAUGGUCAACUUUUAAGUUUCAGCUUGCUCCGAUUUGGUUUUCCUUUCUCCAAAUUCUGUUUCAACCUCUUAUGUGUUGUUCAUGUCGUUGAAAUACAUUACAACAAAUGUAGUUGAUAGAAACAAUUGGCGGAUCAUUGCGACGACAUCAACGGUCGAACAUUCAAUCAAGAACUCGCUUGAGUGCGGUCGUUCGUGUAAUGCAAAGGCUGCCACAAUUGUGGUGGAGGUGUUGGCUAUACGGCUGAGGGUGGAAGGCCUUGACCAGGGACAAGGAAGAGGGAUUCAUGUUGAUGAUGUAAAUAUGGAGGUUGAGAAAAAAGGUUUUAAGAAUCGUACCAAAGUUUGGGCCAUUGUUAAUGCACUUAAAAACAAUGGUAUCAAACUCGUUCUGGAAGAUAAUGUUAAAGACGAAAAUCCAUCCCACCCAAGUUUCUAAACAUUGCCUACUUACUCUUUUUAUUUCUUCUGUCUAUAUUUGUGAGUUCCUUUUGUAGUGAAAAGCAUUAUAAAUUUAAUGCUUUGGGGCCUUUUUGUAAAAUAGUUUCAUUUUGAUAAUUUUUUAUGAAGUAGCUUUCCCAAACACACUUCUUAUCCAGUUAAAUACACUCCGACUUUACUCAA